CCGGGCGUGGUGUAUGGAACACAGCGAGCUCUAUUACCGAGGAAUCUUAUAAGCAUUACGGUAUCUCGCAGAUCGGGGUUCGACUCCCCGCGUCCGGA